GACGUAGGGCGCGAGCGUUGUCCGGAUUUAUUGGGCGUAAAGAGCUCGUAGGCGGCUUGUCGCGUCGGCUGGUGAAACCGACCGGCGUCAACUGUGGGCGGGCAGCUGAUACGGGCAGGCUGGAGUUCGGUAGGGGAGACUGGAAUUCCUGGUGUAGCGGUGAAAUGCGCAGAUAUCAGGAGGAACACCGGUGGCGAAGGCGGGUCUCUGGGCCGAUACUGACGCUGGAGGAGCGAAAGCCGUGGGGAGCGAACAGG
rnacentral:rRNA from 1 species